rnacentral:sRNA from 1 species
GUCCUUGGUAUAUGUUGGAGCAUCUUUUAGACUAUGGUUAAGCACUUUUAUGCCUUGCAUAAGACACCAGGUUCAGUUUCUGUUAUUACUAAAAGACUUUAAAUUUUUUAAAUUAUUCAUGUGCAAAUAUAUAAUGGAUUUCCAUAGAGUAUAAUGUCACUCAAUAUUAAACACAAAUAAGUGACAUGUACAACACUGUGGAUUUAGACAAGCGUUAUAUUAAAUUCAUUUGUCCAUAUGUACCAAAGUUUGUGUGGAGAUGCCUGCCUUCCUUCUUUCCCUUAGUAUUUCUUCAACAAGAUGAUCAGGUUUCUAGGAUUGGAAACAGGAAUGCUAUGCUUCUGAAGUUGUGUUUCACAAAAAAUAAAAAACUCCCGAAUCAAAGCUAAAUUCAAUCUUAAGCUUCAUCUGGUAGCAUUGUUUCAUCUGAGAAUUGCCAUUAAUGCUGAGCCUCUGUGUUCAACAGGGUCUCUGAGUUUUGACAUGGGAGGACAGGACUGGAGCCUAUUCCCUGCUGGAAUUAUCACACAGAAUAAGAGUCAACAAGGGAAAAGCUUCCUGUACCACCAAUACUUGAGGUUGCAUAUUCAUUGAGAGAGGAGAUGUGGGAAAGAGUCAAAUAACCAAAGGUACCACAUUAUGAGGAGAAAAAAAGUUGUCAUAAGAAGUAACUAGCAUGGUUAUUAGAACAUUGAACAUGAGGUAAUUUGGUGAGCUUGGAAGUCAAAAUUGAAUAUCAAAUUUGAAUUUGAGGGAGUAUGGAUCCCAUUGUCAAAAAAGUUGGAGAUACGUUGCUAUUCAGAGACUGAUCAAUCCUAACAAAGACAACAGUUUAGUUGUAGUCACCUACUUGUGGACGGCAGAGAAGAGAUCUAAACUUAAGUUUGGUGUUUACCAUAGACUGAGGUCAACAAUUGCAAGAGAAUCAUUGAACAAUCAAGAUACUUAUAGUAUCCUACAUUCAAUCACAGUAAGUACGAGUUGAAAAAAACAAACAAGGCAAAACCCUGCUAAGCCUGUUAAGAUAUUAGAAACAGACACAUGUGUUUCUUAAAUGUUUCAAUUAUCACGUGUGCACAAUUACUAUUUGAAUAAACAAACAGCUUUAGAACUUGAACAGAUAUUUAGAAUCGAUGCGAAUAAGGUGAGAUUUGGGUCAUGCAGGUAGAACUCGAGUUAGAUUUUAAAGCAGAUUGACCAUAUGGGAAGAAAAAUCAUUAAGAAUAUAGACAUAUUUAGUUGUAAAUAUUAAAAAGCUUUCUUGCAAGAAAUAAAACUACCCGAGAAGUGUUGUCUGCUGUGUCACAUGCACAUCAAAAGGUGAAACAGAGAGAUGCUAUAUUUAUAUUUAGUGUUCUGACUAUGGACAUCUCAAUGAUUAGUAGUUUACCACUCCUUGAAAAAAGUGAGCUCAAGAUGACCAUCAGACCUGUGUCAUGGGAUCCAAACUGGGAGUUAGCAGUCUGGUGCUGUGUAUGCCUGGGAGAGGGGCAGACCAUACCCAAGAUGACCCCUGUCCAGUGCCAUAAGGCAUGAGCAGGCUAUAGCACACCUGAUUACUCCUGGCAUAUCCCCAGAUACUCAGAGACCUUGAGCUAAGAAGGUCAAGACUGUUGUCUUGACUCUAAGAAGAGCAAGUAAGUGAUAGAAAAAUAGAAGAGAAACAGAAGGAUAUGUGAACAAUAUAGAGAAGCAGAACUGGAUAUUUGAGGGUAGUGAGGAAAAUCUUGAUGUGAGUAGUUAGAGAUGCCACCUGGGACCAUGGUGGGGUCAUAGCCUGUGCUGACACCUAAGGCCACCUCUGGGUCCCAAAGGCAAGGCAGAUGCUCCUGGACUCUGCUGCCACUUGGAGACCUACAGAUGUCUGAGGGUGGUACAGAAGUGGCCCCAUACCUCGAGUGGACAUCAUAGGAGAGCCAGCUCUGGCGUCAUGAGGACAGGAGAGCUGACCUAACCAGCUUUAGUACUCCAGAGAGCAGCCUUGCACAUUUCAGGAGUUGUGAGUGAGCUGGCCCUGCCACUUGUUGUCUGUUGUAAAUGUGUGUAUCUUUAGAUUAGCAUGUUAGAAAUGAGACAACUAUCUAAAAUUUAAAGACUUUAA